GGGGUGACGGCGUGCCUUUUGAAGAAUGAGCCUGCGAGUUAGUGCUCUGUGGCGAGGUUAACCCGUGUGGGGCAGCCGUAGCGAAAGCGAGUCCGAAUAGGGCGAUUCAGUCGCAGGGUCUAGACCCGAAGCGAAGUGAUCUAUCCAUGGCCAGGUUGAAGCGACGGUAAGACGUCGUGGAGGACCGAACCCACUUCAGUUGAAAAUGGAGGGGAUGAGCUGUGGAUAGGGGUGAAAGGCCAAUCAAACUUCGUGAUAGCUGGUUCUCUCCGAAAUGCAUUUAGGUGCAGCGUUGCGUGUUUCUUGCCGGAGGUAGAGCUACUGGAUGGCCGAUGGGGCCCAAAAGCUUACUGACGUCAGCCAAACUCCGAAUGCCGGUAAGUGAGAGCGCAGCAGUGAGACUGUGGGGGAUAAGCUUCAUAGUCGAGAGGGAAACAACCCAGACCACCAACUAAGGUCCCUAAGCGCGUGCUAAGUGGGAAAGGAUGUGGAGUUGCACAGACAACCAGGAGGUUGGCUUAGAAGCAGCCACCCUUGAAAGAGUGCGUAAUAGCUCACUGGUCAAGUGAUUCCGCGCCGACAAUGUAACGGGGCUCAAGCACGCCACCGAAGUUGUGGCAUUGACAUUAGUGGUAGGCCUUCGUGGUCCAGCCGUGUUGAUGGGUAGGAGAGCGUCGUGUGGCGAGUGAAGCGGCGGUGUGAACCAGCCGUGGAUGCCACACGAGUGAGAAUGCAGGCAUGAGUAGCGAAAGACGGGUGAGAAACCCGUCCUCCGGAAGACCAAGGGUUCCAGGGUCAAGCUAAUCUUCCCUGGGUAAGUCGGGACCUAAGGCGAGGCCGACAGGCGUAGUCGAUGGACAACGGGUUGAUAUUCCCGUACCGGCGAAGAACCGCCCAAGACAAUCCAGUAGUGCUAAGUAUCUGAAUCCCUUUGAUGGAUCCCUUCGGGGUGAAGCGUUGGGCCUAGCGUACGACCCCGUGCUGGUGCGUUUAGCGUAUUAACAGGUGUGACGCAGGAAGGUAGCCGAGCCGGGCGAUGGUUGUCCCGGUCUAAGGAUGUAGGGCGAACGAUAGGCAAAUCCGUCGUUCAUA
rnacentral:rRNA from 1 species